AAACAUACAUUAAUAAGAAUCAAUGUUCAAUAUUUGUUAAAAUAUUGAUCCUGACUUCACAAAUUACGGGAAAGUCAUAUAAAUUUUCGCAUAUUUUGAAGAAACAAUAGAAGUUGGUUUGAGAGGUUUGAGUUUGUCUGCGGGGUUCUCUUGAUCUUGUUCCAUGGGCUUUUCUUUGAUUUGUUCAUGGUAGUGCACCCUGCUAUUACUUUUUUUUUUGCAGGUCACAUAGCUUAAACUGGUUCGAGUUGCUGUGGUUGACUCUGUCUCGUUUUCUUGUUCAUUCGUGCUUGUCGAAAGGUUUCUACGGUCUCUUAGUACGAUUUGAGGUAUUUGUGCAGUUGGGUUUUACAAGGCACACUCUCUCUAAGUUAGUGUUUUUGGCCUUAUCCUUCAAUUCAUCGGCGCUUAAGUGAUGUUUCGAUUACAAAUAAAUAUCGAAGAGAUCAUUGGAUACUAGCUACUCCGAAGAUGCGGUGGGAAGUCUCGACGUCUAAAGCAACGAGGUGAAUUUCACAUUUUUCGUGAUUCGGGUUGAAGGUUAAGAACAUUAUUCAAUUCCCAGGGAUUUAUAAUUUGAGCUAGCAAAACAUACGGAGAGCGUUAAGCCG
rnacentral:lncRNA from 1 species